CACCGCACCUGUCCUGAACUCAUUUUUUAAAGUUAGUUUUAAAUUAUCAUUUCUUGCCAGUUGUAAUAAAUGUUACAUAUAAACAAGAAUGUGACAUGUCUAUUUUCAAGAAAUUCUAUCUAGCCCGUAAAUAUUCACUCCAGAAGAAACAUCUGAAAAAAUAUACAGCUCAGUGGAGAUUGGACUGCUUAUUUCCUCCAUAUCUUGAAAAAUGUAUCUGUUCAGAAAUAAGAACAUAUUAUACAUUCAGGAGAUUAAAGCAAUGUUAUCAAUUUUGUUUCUCACAAUGCUAAGUUAAAUAUGUAAUUAUCUUAUAAGUUACACAAAUAAGCAAAUGAGAAAUCAAAAAAAAGUCUAUGGUGAAAGAGAAUUAAAAACAUUGAACAUAUUGCCAUAACAUGCCACAUUCACACUCAAAAUACUCUUUAUUCAUUAUACUUAGUUGUCUAAGUAGUUCCCUACUGACUGUAACGAUGCAUUCCAAAAGUUGGAGACUAGAACACAUACAGUGGGAUCCAUAUUAAAUUUGGUAGUUGAGUUUAUAAGAUAUGCCUUAGAAGCCUGUACCUAACCUAUGAUAGAACUGGGCUAGCCUUGGAACCUCGGCACUGUUUAUAACAUUGUUACUAAGGAGAAAUACAUUUCAAAACACAGCUCAGAAAGUCACUUAACACCCUCCCUCCACACUUUCAUUCCAUUUGGUUCACAAGAGGAAGGGAACACAUGGCUGAGGAAUGCUCUUGCACUCCAGAGAAUGCAAGUUCCCUGACCACAGAGGUUGGGUCUUUUAAAGAACCUACUGUGUGCUGAGCGCUGUUGUAAGCACUGAGAAAUAAAGAACAAGAGAGGCGAAGUCCCUGAUGUCUCGGAGUUUAUGGUCUUAUGCGGUUCCUAAAAAUGAAGGUUAAAAGAAACUUGAACUGGAUUCCAUUUUAUCACACGCCUGGAAUGCUGAAAAUGCUGUGGCAAAGUCAUCCAUUCAUUCAUCUAAGUGAAAAGCCUAUAAAAUCAUAGGCAUCUUCAGCCAUAUCCUUAAAUUUCACCAUUUUACGUUUCACCAAAGUUAUAUUGGCAUUAUCUUUUGUGCUGGAAACAAAGUUAAUUGUCUUCUGCAGGAUACUUAAAAUAAAAUGGGCAAUCUCAGUUUAUUUUAUGAUAUUUAAGAGGCUAAAAUGAGCUUGUUCCACAAAUAGCCUUCCUAGUAAAUCCUGGGAAGUCAUGAGAGGGCUGUGUGACGGUAGCACACACCUACAGUAGAUGGCAUUGUGCAUUUGGCUUGGCCACAGCAAGUGUUUACUAAACUAGGGGUGGGUUGUCACAACAGACUCCAAGGUCAUGCAGAAAAUUAAUAUCAAUAAUUAAUAUCUUUGUAUGGUUUUACAUGGUACUUCACGUUUUUAGAUGAUUUAUAAUUAGUUAUCAUCCAUCCUUGAUAUGUUAUUGCCAUAAUUCAGGACCUCCAUAUCUCUUACCUGGACUACUUCUAAAUAGGUUCUCAUCUCACUCCAGCCCAUCCUCACCAUCACAUGUUCUCUUGACAAUGCAUCUUGGAGCCUGUCACUCCUGUUAUUUAUCUAUAGAAUGUUCUAUCUCUUGUUUCUUGGUUCUCACCUCCUACUACCUUCCCACAUUCACUGCUUAACACAGCCACAUGGAGUUUUGUGCCAUUCUCCAAACAUACUGUUUGGUUCUAAGCUCUGUUUCUUCACUGUUCUUCAUGAGUAUCUUCAAAGUCUCUGCCUUGCCUGACUGGCAAGCUCUCACAAGAACUGGGAAAUCAAGCCACAACUUUAUCUCUUCUGUGGAAGCCUUUUGGGAAAGUUCCAGGGUUGGCCUUUCUAUCUUUUGUGUUAUCUUAACCUUUGUACAUACUUUUAUUGUCAUUCUUAUCACCAUUGUCUCUUUCCAAAUCUGGGUUCCCCUCUCUCCACUAUCACCCCCAAAUAGAAAUUGAGUUCCUCCAGGGAAGAUACUCUUUCACAGUCAUCUUGGUAUCCCCAGAAUCUGGCAAGUGUUCAAUUAAAGAAACUGAUGAGCUCAAUUGAUUAUUAAAAGAACUUUUGUUCCUGUUUGAGGUAGAGAAAGUAGAAUACAACAAAGCAGAAACAAUGUUAUUUCACCUAAAUCAGAGGUGAGAAAUCUAUUUUACUGUGAGCCAAUUAUGAAAAUUUAAAGAUGCUCACUGGUUAUAUUUUUAAAUUAUUUAAAACAAAAAUAUUUCUACUGAAUGAAAGAAUUUCAAUGUGAAAAUAGGCACUUCCUGUUAUAGGCACUAAACUGUUAAAAUGUGAGCAGAUGUGAGAAGCAGCAGCACAGAGAUGGUUUUCUGAGCUUUGAUCAAAGCUUAGAAGUGGCAGAUUGCUCUUCAUCAACCAGGAUCAUUUAUUCUUGGCACCAAGUCUUGGCACUUAGAUUACAGAGGAUCAGAGGACCACAUGGUCCUUGUUCCUUAGGGAGGCCUUUCUUCAAAGGUUGACUUUCUUUGCCAUCCUCUCUCUGCAAGGGGUCUCUCUGGCCUCUCUAACUUAGUGGAUUUUUCCUUCCCCCCUCCCUCCACUUUUGUGAGUCAGGUGUUAGAGUUAAUACUUAGCAAAGAAAAUAUAUACACAUAUUAAAGUUGAUCAUUAGCAGCCUCAUAUAAAUAACACCCUGGGGAAAAUGCCUAAAUCUAUGAAUAGUUGCUUAUAAACUAUGAUUCACAGGGUCUCAAGGGGUUAUGUAGCAAUUUGGGAGACUGGUUGGAUGGGGCAUGUUUUGACUAUUCCAUCACCUACAGGUCUUGAGCGUUCCUGAAGUCUUCUCAUGGUACUAGGCCAUAUGUGACACAUAAGCAUUCAAGUUGUGUCUACAGGACAUCAAAAUAGCUAUCUAAUUGGACUAAAUAAAUUAUCUUUAAAGCCUAUCUUUCUAGGAUAGGAAAACUGAUUAUUUUAUAUCAUGUAAAAGUUAAAACAAGAAGAUAUUUAAAUAUGUAUCUUAAUUCCCUACCUGAUUGCAUUAGAGAUGAAUAUACAUUAUCAUCAUAUGAUUCAAAUGAUUACUGCUCUGAAUCCGUGAGGAGAUUCACUACUUCGGAUAGGAAGGAACUGAUAUUUUUUUAGCAUCUGCCAGAUACUUUAUAAACGUAAGUUCAUUUAAUGGCUUAGCACAUGAGGUGGAUAUCACAUGGCCCCAUUUUACGAUGAGGAAAUUAAGAUUCAGAGGGGUUGGGUCACUUUCUGAGGUCACAUAAAUAGCAUAUGAUUGAGCUGGCAUUUGACUUGGGGUCUGUGUGUCUACAAAUCCAGUGCUUUGUCUUCACACCACACCACUGCUGGAGGCCUACAGAAUUAUAAGGAACCCAAAUGAGACAGGGAAAUGCACACAACCUUACUCUAUAACUGCACCUAAACCAUGCCAGGCUAUUGAGUGUUGACUGCUAGUCCCCCCAUAGCUCCAGGAAAGGGAAUGACUCAUCUGUUUAGAAACUCCCAUACAACAAUCCUUACUAGAACUUACCACUAAACCAAAAUCUUGAGUUUGUAAAUACAACAAGCAGUUGUCAUCACCCUGAGACAAAACAAAUUUCCUUACUUUUGGUGAUUAUUAGGUCCUUAAAUAUAUUUUAUGUAGUUAAAUAAUUUAAUUUAUUUUUGUUUGCCUUAACCAAAGUUAUACAAGCUCAUGGUUUAAAUAAGCUUUAAAUAAGGUUUGAUAUAAAAAAUAAUGGUCCCUUGUACCUCCUCUCAAUAUAUUUCUCUCCACUCCAAAGGCGGCCACAUUCAAUGUUUUCAGCAAUUUUGUUUUGUUCGUUUGAUUAAUUUGUUGGUUGGUAGUUUUGAUGUUUACUUCCACAACUUUUUAAUGCUAUAUUUGCUUAUGUUACUAAUUUGAUUUUUCAAGUGUAGGCAUUUUCCGUGACUUCUCACUGUGAAAUACAAGGGCACAGCUUUCUUUCACCACCCUCUCCCACCCCAUCCCACACAUCCACCCUUCCCAUCUUUUCAUCUACUUACUAUCUUUACAUCAAAAUUUUGAUUAGAUUAAUACUUAGUAUUUAUGUUAGUUAUAGUGAAGCUCUGUAGUAUAUAUAAUUCUUCUUUUUGUUUUGGCCAAAACUUUUGCUUCCCUGGAGUUGGUUUUUGUUGGUUUUAGCAAAUAUUCUCUGUGUAUAUCACUAAUUUAACCCCAAACUCUCCAUCAAAUGCUUAACAUUUUUUCUUUCUUUUCUUUCUCUCUUUCUUCCUCUUUCCUUCCUUCCUUCUUUCUCUUUCCAUUUUUCUUUAUUUUUCUUUCUCUCCUUCUUUCUUUUGAGAUGGGGGUCUUGCUAUGAUGCCCAGGCUAGAGUGCAGUGGCUAUUCAAAAGCAUGAUCAUAGUGUACUGCAGCCUAGAACUUCCAGGCUCAAGCCACUUUCCUGCCUCAGCCUCUCAAUUAACUGGGAUUACAGGCAUGUGUUACCAUGCCCUUUUUCUUAAAAUAUUCAGAUGCAUCAGGAAUUCUUUUAUUUUUACCCUCCUGAAAAAUAUCUCCCCUUACACCUUAUAACAUGCAUUACCUGGACAGAUGGCCCUGGACACCAGGUGCACACUUGCUACCUGGGACGUCCCUUGCUUAUGUCCUGGGAACUCCCUUUGCCUGUCUCUUGUAUUCAUUGCCUUCCUUUAUAUUGGCUUCAUAUCCUCAUUUUGGUGGAGCACAUCCUUGAGUAGCUUCUGAGAAUGAAAACAUGAGAGGUAAAAUAUUUUGAGACCUUACAUGACUAAAAUUCAACUUAUUUUCUAUGUUUUCACAUUCCUAAAUUUCUAACCUUUAAUUAUUUUCUAUAUUCUCUAAAUCUCAUACAAUUUGUUACAAAUCUCUUAAACUGGUGGGACUGAGACUGACCAUAGUAUUCCAGUAAUAGUCUGAAGAAUGUAAUACAAGAAUUAUUAAUACUUUGUGAUUCUGAAUUUGGUCUUCUAAAUUCCUCCCUGACACAGUUGCAUACUGCAGUUACAGUGCAUUUGUCUUUUCUCCCCACAUGUGUUCCUAUUUAGGAUCAACACCUCUCAAUUUUUCUAAGGUCAUUUUAAAUUCCAUUCUUAUGUUCUGAAGUGCUAAUAACCCUGUCUCUUAACAUCAGCCAUACUGAGCUUCAUAAAUAUCAUAAAAAUUACUGAUAAAGUACACAAUAUAUAAUACUUCUAGACCCUCAAACCUGCUGCCAUUACUUCUAAUGGCCAAUUUAAAAUGAUUCCAAACCACUAAAUAAUGAGAAAGCUUGACACAUAUGACCAAAUUAUUUCUUCAUAAAGAAAAGAAUGUUUUGUGGUUGAGUAUCAAGAUGUCUGAGUUCUGGGGGAUUUAUCCUAUUGUUUUUCCAAGGGUGUUCAGCCUCUACCUUUCAAAGGCAAUCUCUUUCCUUAUUUAAAAAAUUAGGCAGCAUAUAUAGCUCUUUUUCCAUACCACAAGCAUUCAUCCUGUUAAUACUAAACAGGUUUAUAAUUACAGAGGCAGCAAGGCAUAGUGAAAGAGUACUUACUUCAAGAGUAAGAAGACUAAUGCUAGUAAUGCUUUCCUAUGAUCCAAUAUUUGUUGGAGAUAUUAUCCAUCAAAUAUGUUUGAUGGAUUUAUUAAUCCAUCAAAUAGGUGCUCAAAUGGAACACCUAUUAUGUGCCAGGUACUGUGCUAGGUACUGGAACUACAGAAUGAAAAAGAUAGACAUGGUCCCAGUCCUUGUUUAAGGGACAACAGAUACUGGGCAAGUAAUAACAAGUUGAGCAUUAUAACUUAACCUCCAUGAGACUCAGUUUCCUGUGUAAAAUAAGGAAAAUAAUAACUGCACCCCAUAUGUUCAAAUGAGGUCAUAUUGUAGAAAAAACUUUAUAAGCUCUCUUUUUCCAGAUGAACUACAGGCAUCUUCUACUAGCUUUUGAUUUUCC
rnacentral:lncRNA from 1 species